rnacentral:rRNA from 1 species
CGGGGGGGGUGCAAGCGUUAUUCGGAAUCACUGGGCGUAAAGAGCGCGUAGGGCGGUCUCUUAAGUCAGAUGUGAAAGACCCCGGGGGCGUUAAACCCCCGGAAGUGCAUUUGAAACGGAGGGACGUUGAGUAUGGGAGAGGGAAGUGGAAUUCCUGGUGUAGCGGUGAAAUGCGUAGAUAUCAGGAGGAACACCGGUGGCGAUGGCGACUUCCUGGACCAAUACUGACGCUGAGGCGCGAAGGCGUGGGGAGCAAACAGGAUUAGAUACCCUGGUAGUCCACGCAGUAAACGUUGAACACUAGGUGUAGCGGGUAUUGACCCCUGCUGUGCCGCAGCUAACGCAUUAAGUGUUCCGCCUGGGAAGUACGGCCGCAAGGCUA